UGCCCAGCAACUUCAAUCCCUACCUCCUCGUGGUAUCGGCCGGAAACUAUGAGCAACUUUAGGGAAGA
rnacentral:ribozyme from 1 species